ensembl:lncRNA
UGGGGAGGUGUUCCGGAUUUCCCAGCUGGACUCUGUGUCAUCACAAGGGUCUUUAUGAGAGAGGGGUGGGGGCAGGAGAGCCAGAGUCAGACAGAGACGGGAGGAGCUGAGGAGCUGCUGGCCAGGAGCGUGGAGGUGGGGCCCCAGACCAUGGACGUGGGCGCCUGAGAAGCUGAGGACACAAAACAGACGCGGCCCUGAGCCUGCAGGAGGGGGAGCCCUGCCUCCCCCAUCUGCCCCGCAGCUGGGGUCACCGGGGAUUUCUGACCCGUGAAACCUCGAGGCCAUGAGUCUGCACUGCUCUAACCACUGGGAGCUUCCCGGCUUGGCUCAGACUGAAAGGAAUCUGCCUACAACACGGGAAACCCUGGACAGGCCCCGGACUCCAGGACCGGAACCGCCCCUGCAGGGCCUCCUCCCAGCCCGAGGAUGUUCUCAGGCGUCUCCCCACCCAGGGUCAACAACAUGUCCGCACAGCUGAUUCCUAAAUUCCUGCACACAAGAACAGGCGCUCGAGGGCAGGUGUUCCGCAGGUGGACUGGAUGGGGUAUGAAGGGCAGACGCACUCCGGCCGAGGAACGGGGCAUGUGUCCGUCCCAGUGCAGCAGGCUGCACAGAGAUCCCAACCAACCUCUGCGUUCAAAGCGGAGCCCUGUCCUUUCCCAGGUCAGCGACAUCCUGGGAGCCAGUCACCAUGGCGAGGCCUCCCCGCUUAGCCGGCCUUCGGAGCUCUUCGCCACGUGGCGCGCUUUCCCCUUCCGCUUCCCCUCCAUCCGGCACCGCAGCCCUCUGAACAAUCCUGUGCUUCUGGCCGCCUCCACCUUCUGCCCCUGCGGCGCCUUCUGCCUGGACACCCACCCCUCCGCACUUGCAGGAACCGCGUCCUCUGUGGGUCUCUCAGCCAGAACCAUCUCCUGCUGCCCCCACAGCGCUCAGGGUCUCACCAGUGCCUGCAAAGCCACCUGUGGCCGUCACCUCAAUGUUAGAAAUGAUAGGUGCCCCGGUGAGAAGUCUGCGUGUAUAGACGGCAGCCACUGUGAGCGCCGCGUGCCGGCUUCACCGCACUUCUCCCGCUGUGAGCGCCGCACGUUCUGUAUCACAUACAGCGACUUACUCCCAGGAAAACCUGCUCCCAAGUCCCACCGUGUGGCAGAUUUAGGGAUGGGACAAGUAGGAAGGGAAGGCCUGUCCUUUAAUCAUACAUCUGGCACACUUGAGGUGAGGCCAAAAGGAACAGACAAGCAGAGGAGAGAUUAGAAGCGUGUCCCCAACUGGUUCUCCAUGCGUGCAGGCAGUCUCUAAGAAAAUCAAUAAAAGGACGUUGCAAACUACA